AUGAGCAAAGCCCUCUGCCCAUGGUACCAGGGGCUGUCAGCUUACGAGAAAGAGUACCUAGCAAUCUUAGUGGCAGUGGACCAAUGGAGACCCUAUCAGCAACACGCUGAAUUCUUGAUCCUCACUGACCAACGCAGCCUGGUGCACUUGGAGGAGCAGAGACUGACAACACCAUGGCAGAAAAAGGCCUUCACUAAGCUUUUGGGGCUGCGAUACUGCAUCAAGUAUAAGAAAGGAUCCGACAACUCUGCUGCCGAUGCCCUCUCACGUGCACUGAACUGA
rnacentral:rRNA from 1 species